rfam:Polysphondylium pallidum PN500 unplaced genomic scaffold PPL_contig13, whole genome shotgun sequence.
GGGACUUUAGCUCAGUUGGAAGAGCGAUUGGCUACGAACCAAUAGGUCGCAGGUUCAAGCCCUGCAUGUCUCA